rnacentral:rRNA from 1 species
GACGAACGCUGGCGGCGUGCUUAACACAUGCAAGUCGAACGGAAAGGCCCUGCUUUUGUGGGGUUCUCGCGUGGCGAACGGGUGAGUAACACGUGAGUAACCUGCCCUUGACUUUGGGAUAACUUCAGGAAACUGGGGCUAAUACCGGCUAGGAGCUCCUGCUGCAUGGUGGGGGUUGGACAGUUUCGGCGGUUGGGGAUGGACUCGCGGCUGAUCAGCUAGUUGGUGGGGUAAUGGCCUAGCCAGGCGACGAUGCGUAGCUGGCCUGAGAGGAUGAUCAGUCACACUGGAACUGAGACAGGGGCCAGACUCCUACGGGAGGCAGCAGUGGGGAAUAUUGGACAAUGGGCGAAAGCCUGAUCCAGCCAUGCCGCGUGUGUGAAGAAGGUCUUCGGAUUGUAAAGCACUGUAAGUUGGGAGGAAGGGCAGUAAGUUAAUACCUUGCUGUUUUGACGUUACCAACAGAAUAAGCACCGGCUAACUUCGUG